rnacentral:lncRNA from 1 species
AAUUCCACUCCUGGGUAUAUGCCCAGAAGAAUCAAAAGCAGGGAUUUGAACAGAAAUCUGUACACCAAUGUUCAUAGCAGCAUUAGCCACAAUAGCUUAAAGCUGGAAACAACCUGCUAUGGUCUGAAUGUCUGUUCCCCCUCAAAAUUUGUAUGUUGAAAUCCUAAUGCCCAGUGUGAUGGUAUCAGGAGGUGGGGCCUCUGGGAGGUGAUCAGGUCAUGAGGGUGGAGCCUCACAAAUGGCAUCAGUGCCCUUGUAAAAGAAGCCCCAGACCUCCCUCACCCGUCCCAUCACCUGAGGACACAGCGAGAAGCCAGCCUUCUGCAACUGGAAGGGGGCCCUCGCCAGAACCCACCAUGCUGGCACCUUGAUCUUGGACUUCCAGCCUCCAGAAUGCAUGGAACAUGGCGUGAUGGCUCGAACUCCAGCAGCCAUCUAGAAACCACGAGGCUAAGUCAGCGCUGGGGGUGCUGAGCAGAAAGAGAAGGAGCCUGAGACGCCCAGGGCACUUGGAGCUGCUGUACACACGAGGUGCGAUGCUAGUCCCCAGACUUCACGUUACAGGACAGAAGAGAAUGCACCUCUGCUGUAUUCCAGUGUUUGUGAGGUCUCUGCUACCUGCUGAACACGAUUCCUAACUGAUUCAGCACCUUAACCCCAUUGUUAUUAUUGUUGCUAUUGGUUUUAUGACCCAGAAAGGGGCACUCUAGGCCAGAGUUGGUCUGACAAUGUCAGAAACACCUGGAAGACUGGAGAUGUAAAAUGAGUUAUGCGCAGGCCUAAUGGAUAGUCACUAGAAGCCGGAGGAUCCGGUGAAACAGCCCUGCCCGGCCCACUGCCACAGACGCCGUCAUGGAACACGGAGACAUCGAGGCCUGUCCCCCGAGCGGGCAUGUUGAUUGACGCGCUUCCCCCUCAGCAGCUCGAGCGUGACGAGUUUUCUGCUCCAUGGAGGAGGCAGAGGACUGGAGUGGCUGGCGUCUCCUUGCUCAAUUUAGAGGGAAGCUGAAGGUUUCUCCAACUGCAUUUCCUGAGUUAGGAGGAUGACACACUCUCCAGGACGGACGGACUGGCUCAUCAUCUGGAUCUGAUCAUUGGAAUGUCUCCCAAGAUGUGAAGAGGAAGUAGGCGAAACAUUCCCGGGAGAGGCCUCCUGGGGACGGCCCGGCGGCAGCAACUGAAGCUGGUCGUCACCAAGCGUGGGAAGAACUGCUGACUACUGCCUUAGUUCAGGUUCUUUUCAUGUCUGACUCGUCUCCCUUCCUGCACUCCCUUUCCCACUUCUCUCCAUCCUCC